rnacentral:rRNA from 1 species
AAUGGGGGAAACCCUGAUGCAGCCAUGCCGCGUGUGUGAAGAAGGCCUUCGGGUUGUAAAGCACUUUCAGUAGGGAGGAAAGGGUGAGUCUUAAUACGGCUCAUCUGUGACGUUACCUACAGAAGAAGGACCGGCUAACUCCGUGCCAGCAGCCGCGGUAAUACGGAGGGUCCGAGCGUUAAUCGGAAUUACUGGGCGUAAAGCGUGCGCAGGCGGUUUGUUAAGCGAGAUGUGAAAGCCCUGGGCUCAACCUAGGAAUAGCAUUUCGAACUGGCGAACUAGAGUCUUGUAGAGGGGGGUAGAAUUCCAGGUGUAGCGGUGAAAUGCGUAGAGAUCUGGAGGAAUACCGGUGGCGAAGGCGGCCCCCUGGACAAAGACUGACGCUCAUGCACGAAAGCGUGGGGAGCAAACAGGAUUAGAUACCCUGGUAGUCCACGCCGUAAACGAUGUCUACUCGGAGUUUGGUGUCUUGAACACUGGGCUCUCAAGCUAACGCAUUAAGUAGACCGCCUGGGGAGUACGGCCGCAAGGUUAAAACUCACAUGAAUUGACGGGGGCCCGCACAA